CUAAUUAGCUUUAAGGUUUUACAAAUUUAUUUAUAUUGCUAUCAAUUUGUUGAUUUAUUACAAAUUACAACUUUUUUAUUAUAUACAGAAAUUGUCUUUCGCGAUGGAAGCUACAACUUCUGGAACUAAAUCGCUAGUGGUUGACAACAAUCCUCCGAUUAUGCCAACAGAAUCUCAACAACAACAAGAGUAUCGAGACUCACCUUUGAGCAUUGAUUAGCCAGUUUCGUUCACGAUGCACUAUCUGUGUGAGAAUUGGUAUGUUAAUUGAUUACACUAUUCUUUUACAAAAGUUACAGGCUUCUUCUACAAAAAGUUGUUUUGUACAGCUCAUUUUCUUUGAUAGUUAUGAAUUGGCUGGCACUUAUUCUCCU